rnacentral:rRNA from 1 species
UACAGAGGUCUCAAGCGUUGUUCGGAUUCAUUGGGCGUAAAGGGUGCGUAGGCGGACUUUUAAGUCAGUGGUGAAAGCCUGUAGCUUAACUAUAGAAUUGCCAUUGAAACUGAAAGUCUCGAGUGUGGUUGAGGUAACUGGAAUAUAUCAUGUAGCGGUGAAAUGCUUAGAUAUGAUAUAGAACACCAAUUGCGAAGGCAGGUUACUGAGCCAUUACUGACGCUGAGGCACGAAAGCGUGGGGAUCAAACAGG